UGAGGACGACUGCAUCCUGUCCCAGGCUACAGACUCUGGUUGUCCUUCGGAGAGUCUUUUAGAAGAUGAGGGAACAGCUGAAAAGCAAAAUGUGGACCUCCCCGCAUCGUCAAACCAUCCUAAAGACCCUCCCUCACCCAUUCACCAUCCUCCUCCUCCAUCCUCUCCUACCCAUGAGCACCUGGGGCUGGAGUGGGACCCGUCAGUUGACAUUGGACGCUCUGUCUCCCGUGACGACGCCGACUCAUCGUAUUUCAGUGCCAGCACAGGUUUGAAGAGGUGGAGCUACCUGAGUUCCUUUGACUCUCGGUCUGACAUCAGCGCCGACAUCGGGAACCAGGAGGGAG